rnacentral:rRNA from 1 species
UACGUAGGGUGCAAGCGUUAAUCGGAAUUACUGGGCGUAAAGCGUACGCAGGCGGCUAUGUAAGACAGGUGUGAAAUCCCCGGGCCUAACCUGGGAACUGCAUUUGUGACUGCAUAGCUAGAGUCCGUCAGAGGGGGGUGGAAUUCCACGUGUAGCAGUGAAAUGCGUAGAGAUGUGGAGGAAUACCGAUGGCGAAGGCAGCCCCCUGGGAUAACACUGACGCUCAUGCACGAAAGCGUGGGGAGCAAACAGG